CUGCUAUCAUUCGCCCCGAACAUUGGGGAGUAGCCGGCCUUAGUCAACUAAGGGAUCUGCGUCAACAUUCUUGGCCCGCAGGCCAUGGUGCAGAUAGUCGCAAGACUUGGCGAGACCAUCGCUCAAAUGACGACCGCAUGGGCCGGGGUCGCUGUUUGCGCUUUGGUUAUUAUUCCGGCCCCAGAAAGUU
rnacentral:sRNA from 14 species